AUUGAACGCUGGCGGCAUGCCUUACACAUGCAAGUCGAACGGUAACAGGUUAAGCUGACGAGUGGCGAACGGGUGAGUAAUAUAUCGGAACGUGCCCAGUCGUGGGGGAUAACGUAGCGAAAGCUACGCUAAUACCGCAUACGAUCUACGGAUGAAAGCGGGGGAUCGCAAGACCUAGCGCGAUUGGAGCGGCCGAUAUCAGAUUAGGUUGUUGGGGAGGUAAAAGCUCACCAAGCCUGCGAUCUGUAGCUGGUCUGAGAGGACGACCAGCCAAACUGGAACUGAGACACGGUCCAGACUCCUACGGGAGGCAGCAGUGGGGAAUUUUGGACAAUGGACGCAAGUCUGAUCCAGCAAUGCCGCGUGCAGGACGAAGGCCUUCGGGUUGUAAACUGCUUUUGUACGGAACGAAACGGUGAGCUCUAAUAUAGUUUGCUAAUGACGGUACCGUAAGAAUAAGCACCGGCUAACUACGUGCCAGCCGCCGCAGUAA
rnacentral:rRNA from 1 species